rnacentral:hammerhead_ribozyme from 1 species
AUCUAGCUGACGAGUCCCAAAUAGGAAGAAACGAUUGUCAAACCGGAU